CCAAUAGCGUAUAUUAAAGUUGUUGCAGUUAAAAAGCUCGUAGUUGAAUUUCGGGGUCAGCAAGUUGGUCGUGCCACCGGUAUGCACUGGCUUUGCUGAUUCCUCCUUCUUGUAGAACCGUAAUGCCAUUAAUUUGGUGUUGCGGGGAAACAGGACUGUUACUUUGAAAAAAUUAGAGUGUUUAAAGCAGGCUAACGCUUGAAUACAUUAGCAUGGAAUAAUGAAAUAGGACGACGAUCCUAUUUUGUUGGUUUCUAGGAUUGACGUAAUGAUUAAUAGGGAUAGUUGGGAGCAUUAGUAUUCAAUUGUCAGAGGUGAAAUUCUUGGAUUUAUUGAAGACUGACUACUGCGAAAGCAUUUGCCAAGGAUGUUUUCAUUAAUCAAGAACGAAAGUUAGGGGAUCGAAGACGAUCAGAUACCGUCGUAGUCUUAACCAUAAACUAUGCCGACUAGGGAUCGGAUGAUGUUAAUUUUAUAAUGACUCAUUCGGCGCCUUACG
rnacentral:rRNA from 1 species